rnacentral:rRNA from 1 species
AUGCGGCGACCUAACGACGCCGGCAGCGGCGGCGACCCGGGUGACCGGAUGCGCGACGACGAUCCCGCCGAGUCCUCCCGCGCCUUCGACGACGGCGGCGACGACGACCCUCAGCAGCCCACGCCGACGCCGGCCUCCUCCGGCGACUCGCUGUGGCAGUGGCGGAGCCAGGGCCUCUCCGAGGUGGUUCUCUCGUGGUCGGUGGACCAAAUCCUCAACAAGGACCUACUCCGCGACAAGGUGUCCAAGAUCCCAGAGACAUUUAACAGCAUGGAGCAGUACAUGACAUCGUUUUUCGGGCCACUUUUAGAGGAGGUCCGGGAUGAUAUGUCUUCAAGCAUGGAGGACAUCUCUGGAGCUCCAUAUGCAAAACUGCUAUCAGUCAAUGCAGUGAAAAAGGGGAAAGGACUGUAUGAGAUCAAGCUCGACAGAUGGAUGGGGGUGUCUGGUUCUGGGACUGAUGGAUAUAGGCCGAAAGCAGCAGAUGUGCUACUUAUUUCAGAAACAAGACCAGCAAAUAAAUCCGAUAUUCUCAAACAGUCCAAAUCCUGUGUCAUCGUAUGGAUUAAUAAGGUCCAGGGCAAUAAGAUCACCGUCAAGGCAUCACGAUGGAUGGAGACUGGGGCUGAUGGAGAUGAACGGCAGCAAAUGGGUGUUAACAAGUAUGAGAAGUUGUACACCGAAGAGUUGGAUAAGUCAUGGGAGAUACUGGAUCAAGAAGCAAUGGCUCUGAAAUCCAAAAACUCAUCUAUCAAUGAAGAAAUCAGAAAAGAACCACCAAAAGGUAGAAAGCCCCUUGAAAAGUGUAGUGAUCUGAAGGAACUAAAUGAAACAGGGAUGUGUGGAAAUUCGUCAAGACGAUGGUCCUUCUAUGCUAUGCAUCUAACUAAUAUGGUAACAUAUGAUCGUGUUUGGGUUGUGCUCCGAAGGGGUCUGACAAUGGAUACAAAAGUCAUUCUGAACAUGCUGGGCAAAAACAAUAAUGCUAUUAGACAUUGUAACUACUGCAGCAAUAAAUCACAUGAGGAAAUUAAGGAUGAUCUCUGCAAUUUUAAGCUGAAUGUCUCACAGCUUGAUGCAAUAGCAAGUUGUAUUUCAGCAAGUAAUUGUUGUCAUAGAUCUUCUGUGGGGCUAGUUUGGGGCCCGCCUGGCACAGGUAAAACUACAACACUUGCAGUAACGUUACACAUGCUUCUGAUGAAGAAACAGAGAAUUCUUGCAUGUGCUCCAACCAACAUGGCUGUCUUGCAAAUAGCUUCUCGUCUUAUUGGGUUGAUUGAGGACUUCUCUCUAAGCCAUCAUUACUCCUUUGGUGACAUCAUUUUAUAUGGCAACAAGGACCGUCUGCACAUUGGCAAUGAGUUGUCAAAAAUAUAUUUGGAUGAUCGUGUCAGGAAGUUGCUGAGGUGCUUUAACCGAGAAGUUGGGUGGAAGCAUUGCGUGGAUUCUGUCCUAAAAUUCCUAAAACAUUGCACUUCUAGGUACAAACUGUCCCUAGAUAUACAAGCAAGCAGCGACGAAUGCAGCCCUACUUUUAAGAAGUAUUUUACAAGUAACUUCAGCAGUUUAGCAAAAGAAUUGGUAGCUUGUAUUGAUACAUUCUUCGACCAUCUUCCAGCGAAUACCCUAGGCAAGAACUUUGACAAGAUGAUGUUUGUGAAAAGUUUGGUCAAUAAAGUGCAGCAGUUAUUCUGUGCAGAUGAUCUCUCUGAUGAUUAUCUUUUUACAAUCUUCAAGCCCUCUGAUGAACUUUCUGACCCUUCUAUUGGUCAUCAUGACCUGACAGAUGAUGCAACCGAGGAUCUUCCUGACCAUGACAUCUCUCUAGAUAACCCUUCGGAGAUAAACUCUAUAUGUAUUAAAACCCUGAUGGAUCUUUCAAAAAUGUGGUUUCCUUGUGAAGAGAAUGAAUCUUCGAUCAGGGACUUGUGUUUGAAGCAAGCAAAACUCAUAUUUUGCACUGCUUCUGGUUCGUUUGAGUUGUUCAGGCUGCAAGGUGUGAUGCCUAUAAGCAUCUUGGUUAUUGACGAGGCAGCACAGCUAAAAGAAUCUGAAUCGCUGGUUCCUCUCUUGCUUCCAGGAAUAGAACAUGUUUUACUAAUUGGGGAUGAAAACCAGCUAUCAUCAUUGGUAAAGAGCAAGAUUGCUAAAGAUGCCGACUUUGGACGAAGCCUCUACGAGAGAUUGUGUACAAUGGGUUACACCAAGCACUUGCUGGAAGUACAAUAUAGAAUGCACCCUUGCAUUAAUAAAUUUCCGAAUGCCAACUUUUAUGGUAACCGAAUUUUGGAUGGUCCCAGUGUCAAACAGAAAGAUUAUACCAAGAAUUAUCUCUCUGGAAGUAUUUAUGGUGCUUAUUCAUUCAUUCACAUUGAAAAUGAUAUGGAAAUGCUUGAUGACCUUGGCCAGAGUUCAAAAAAUAUGAUUGAGGUUGCUGUAGCAGCCAAUAUCAUUGAAAGACUUGCGAAAGAAUGCUGGGAGAAGAGGCAAAGAACCAGUGUUGGUGUAAUAUCUCCGUAUACUGCCCAAGUGAUGGCAAUGCAAGAAAUAAUUGGAAGAAAGUUUGAGAAACAUGAGUUUCUGUCUGUUACAGUAAAAUCUAUCGAUGGAUUUCAAGGUGGUGAGGAAGACAUAAUAUUAAUUUCAACAGUUAGGUCCAACAAAGAUGGGAAAGUAGGUUUUCUCUCUGAUGCUGGAAGAAUUAAUGUGGCUUUGACAAGAGCAAAGCACUGCCUUUGGAUCCUUGGAAAUGGAGCCACUUUGCUUGCAAGCAAUUCAGUAUGGGCAGAAUUAGUCAAUGAUUCGAAAAAACGUGGAUGUUUCUUUGAUGCUCUCAAGGACAAGCAUUUAGCAGAAACAAUGAGGCUUGCAAUCAAGAGAAAUGGCCGCACAAUUGAUGCAGCUGGAGUGUCAUCAUGGUUAUUAAGGGCAAGGAUAAGACAGAGUCAGCUUCCAGGUUCUGGUGGUGCACGGAGCAUAAAUAAUUGGCAACCAAACGGCCAUGAUUUGCGACCAAAUUCUUGUCACCCAAACAGACCUAUUUUUGUACCUUCUAGAGAGGACAUUCACAGAACACACUUUCAGCAGCACAGAAGAACCUUUUAUGGUGGUGACUACAAUAAUCAAUCACGAGGUAUCCCUGUUGAUCAAUACUGGCCCAACAGGUACAGACCUUCCUGUGACAAACAUGGUGCUCCUGAAGGGUUUAGAGGACAUGUUGAGCGGCAUCCCGAGCAGCACUAUCAUAGCAGAACUGAUCAAGAACCCUUGUGCAGUACUUCUCGAACAGCCAAUGGCAGGUUUACUCCUGGAUCAGUUCGGAGGACAGAAUCACACAACCAAACUAGUAUUCUUGGUGCAUGGCAGCAACAUUCAGGAGAUCACUGCAACAGGGACUUUCAGAACAGGACUGGUUAUCCGUUAUGGCCAGCUUCUUCGCAAAGAAGGUUCAGUUCAUAUGGAAAUGCUGAUCCUCACCUUUGGAGUAUGAACAAAGAGAAGCGGCUAGGUAAUCAUCCACGAAGAGCACCAUACACAUACAGGGGGCAAGCACCCCACCAGGGAGUUGGUGGCCGAGGUAGAGACGUGCCUUCAUUUCAUGAGAGAGCAACUAGGGGUGUCCGGCAUGAGCAUGCCAAUAACAAUCGGAUGAAAGAACCUCAUUGUUGGGGGCAGAAUAGCAGUUCUGAAGCUGUGUCCCAUGAUUUGCCAGUUGCUGAGCAACGAGGGGUGAAAAGAGACUGGCGCAAGGCAGAAGCGUCAGAUUCACCUCACCAAGACAACUUAAAAAUAAGACUUGCUGUCGAGAGUGCAGAUGAACCUCACUGUGAAGCGCAGGAUGGCAGCUCUGGAGCUGCAUCCCACAGACUUGCAGUUCCUGAGCAGCCUGAACGAGAGGGAUGUAAACCAGAAUCAUCAUAUUCACCCCGGCAGGACAACACACUAGUGAGGCCCGAAAGUUCAGAUCAACCGCAUGGUAAACUGCAGGAUACCAGUGCCGGAGCCGCUCCCUAUGAAUUGCCUGCUCCUGAUCAGCCUGAGAUGAAACGAGAGGAGUGUGAAGCAGAACCGCCAGUUUCAUCCCGCCAGGACAACACAGAAGCAAGCCCCGAAAGUUUAGAUGAACCGCACUGUCAGUCAGAGGACACCUGUUCUGGAGCCGCUAGCCCCCAACUGCCUGUUCCUGAGCUGGGACGCAUGGAUAUAGACUCGUGCGAAGCAGAAGCAACCAUUAUACCUGACAUUAACAUACCACUUGAACUGCCUGCUCCUGAUCAGCCUGAGAUGAAACAAGAUGAGUGUGAAGCAGAAUUGCCGGUUUCAUCCCGGCAGGACAACACAGAAGCAAGCCCAGAAAGUUUAGAUGAACCGCAUUGUCAGUCAGAGGAAGCCGCUACCCUCCAACCGCCUGUGCCUGAGCUGGGACGCAUGGACAUAGACUCGUGCGAAGCAGAAGCAACCGUUAUACCUGACAUUAACAUAUCACUGGAGAGCGUAGAAGCAGAUAGCUAG